rnacentral:rRNA from 1 species
CCUACGGGAGGCAGCAGUGGGGGAUAUUGCACAAUGGGGGGAACCCUGAUGCAGCGACGCCGCGUGGGUGAAGAAGCGCCUCGGCGCGUAAAGCCCUGUCAGCAGGGAAGAAAAUGACGGUACCUGAAGAAGAAGCCCCGGCUAACUACGUGCCAGCAGCCGCGGUAAUACGUAGGGGGCAAGCGUUAUCCGGAUUUACUGGGUGUAAAGGGGGCGCAGACGGCGAUGCAAGCCAGGAGUGAAAGCCCGGGGACAAACCCCGGGACUGCUCUUGGAACUGCGUGGCUGGAGUGCAGGAGGGGCAGGCGGAAUUCCUGGUGUAGCGGUGAAAUGCGUAGAUAUCAGGAGGAACACCGGUGGCGAAGGCGGCCUGCUGGACUGCAACUGACGUUGAGGCCCGAAAGCGUGGGGAGCAAACAGGAUUAGAUACCCUAGUAGUC